rnacentral:lncRNA from 10 species
CAACCCUGCAGGAAACACAGAGAGUUUGCAAAGUCCUUCCUUGUGGCCUAAGGAAAAUGACUUCUGGGUACUCAGGAUAGCCCAAUGUGAUCAAUCUUCAGAAUAUCAGCGUUUUCUUGGUAGUGAACUAACUGCACAAUCCAGGUGGGGCAGGACGUCUGGGUGCUGAAGAAUGGGAGCGGAUGAUACUUGCUCUUGGAGCCCACCUGCCCUGCUGGGAGGUGCUGGGAACACCUGGAGAGCCAUGUGCAGCUGUGUGGCCAGCAAUCCCAGCUUUGUUCCCAGCCAGCUGCCAGACCUGGGAGUGAGGAAGCCUUCCAGAAGACCCCAGCCUAGUCCCCAUCUGACAGCGACCUCAUGAGAUAUCCUGAGUGAGAUCUACCCAGCCGAGCCCAAUAAACCCAUGAAAACAUCAGAGGUUUUUCUCCUCUUCCUUUCUCUCCUCCUCCUCCUCAUGAAAAUUGCUGCAGUUUUAUGCUACUAAGUUUGGGCUGAUUUAUUACACAGCAAUAGAAAACUGAAACAUCAAUCAAUGGCACGUUGUUAGAAAUUAUCAAAGGCAGUGGGCACGGCUUGUCAUGCCUGUAAUCCUAGCACUUUGGGAGGUAGAGGUCGGCUGAUUGCUUGAGGCCAGGAGUUCAAGACCAGCCUGGGCAACAUGGUAAAACCUUGUCUCUAUAAAAAUUAGCUGGGCUUGGUGGCAUGCAUGGGUAGGCCCAGCUACUUGGGAGUCUGAGAUGAGGGAUCGAUUGAGUCCAAGAGGUCAAGGCUGCAGUGAGCCGUGAUCGCACCACUGCACUCCAGCCUGGGCUACAGAGCAAGAGCCUGUCUGAAAGAAAGAAAGGAUGAAUGAAAGAAAGAAAAGAAAGAGAAAGAAAGAAGGAAAGAGUGAAAGAAAGAAAGAAAGAAAGAAAAGAAGGAAAGAAAGAAAGAAGGAAGAAGUUACCAAAGGCCCUAUACUAUUUCCUAUUAAUAUUCCUUCUCAUUCUCCUUUAUUCUUCCUAUCUCUGUAAGAAAGCACACUAAUGAUAACUCAUAUAGAGCUUGUGCAGAAGUGAGUUUUGACCAAGUGUUGCCCCAGGUGGUCCUUGAUCAUGGAACCUGGUAGGAUGUGCUAGCAACUGUGACCAAGGCCAGGCCAUGAAGCUGCACAUCCAAGCAGGUG